rnacentral:rRNA from 1 species
CAAGCGGUGGAGCAUGUGGUUCAAUUCGACGCAACGCGAAGAACCUUACCUGGGCUCGAACGGCUGCAGACGGUCCGUGGAAACAUGGGCUUUCCCUUCGGGGACUGUAGUCGAGGUGCUGCAUGGCUGUCGUCAGCUCGUGUCGUGAGAUGUUGGGUUAAGUCCCGCAACGAGCGCAACCCUUGUCCUGUGUUGCCACUCCGCAAGGAAGCACUCUCAGGAGACCGCCAGCGACAAGCUGGAGGAAGGUGGGGAUGACGUCAAGUCAUCAUGGCCUUUAUGUCCAGGGCUACACACGUGCUACAAUGGUCGGUACAAAGCGCUGCAAACCCGCGAGGGGGAGCCAAUCGCAAAAAACCGAUCUCAGUUCGGAUUGCAGGCUGCAACUCGCCUGCAUGAAGCUGGAAUCGCUAGUAAUGGUAUAUCAGAACGAUACCGUGAAUACGUUCCCGGGCCUUGUACACACC